CCCCCCCCCCAGUUCAGGUCAACAAUUUUUUUUUCUAACAUAAUUUUAUUGAUACUGAAACUUCUUAUCUAGUGCGGAAAUUGUCACAGCUUGAUUAGGCUUCUUAAACUGGCCGUUAAUUAAUACCAGCGUCCCCAUGCGUGAUUUAUGACAACUUAUCGGUGGGUGUGUAAAUAUUGACACCUGUGUGUAAUAUGUCUAUGCAAAAGAUUUUAUGUAAAAUAGAUCAAAAUACAUUUACAUUAUGAUUGGAAUAGUACAAAAUUGUAUUGGUUUAUAAUACAAUACCGAUUAAGAUCGAUUACCAGGUGAAACGUCUGAUCUGUGUUUUUGAAGAAAAGGUACAAACAUUUCCUGUAAAUGUACUUUUUUUCCAAAACUUUCUUUUUUUUUUAAAUAAUAUCAUAUUUCAUUCCCCUCUUAUGGAAGGGAAAUCAACAAAAAAAUUUACUCCCCCUCCCCUUUACCCUAAUGCUUUCCCUCGUCCAGGAAAAAUAAAUUGACAUUUCCUAUUAAAUAAUCAUUAAUAAAAUGCUACUUGAUUUUCGUUAAAAUUUAGUUUGUAACAGAAUCUUGGACUUAAACAUUUCUCUAAAAGCCGAAGCAUGCAGUUAUAUUUGUUUUUAUUGGUCUUGUUUCAAUUACCAUGCAUGUACAUGGACGAGGCUAUGCAAAAGGUCACCAUUUAUGAAGAUAUAAAGGUGUUUUGCAGAUAUUCGAAUAAUGUGCAAAAAAGUAUAAGUCGGGGCCAAAAAAUAUAGAUAACAGAAUAUAGAGUUGAUGAAAUAUAAAGAAAAUAUUGUUUAAAUUGUUGCAUGGUUGUUAAACGUCCAGUGGCAAAUAUUUGAUGCAUGUUUAGGUCGAAUAUAAUAAAGAUCAAUUGGCAAUAAAGUGCAAAAGUAAAAAACUUAAAACAUAUCGAAAUCCAGAAAUAAUGAUUUGACCCCCCCCC
rnacentral:lncRNA from 1 species